UUUACAUCUAUAAGAGGAUUUGUCCCUACUCAAGAAGAAUACGUUCUAUUUUCUGAAAACUAGCCCUAUUCUAGUGAGAACAUAAGGUCCCCAUUGAGUAGAAGAUAUUUCCUUAUUCACGGUUCCAUGGCUUUGUCAGGCAUGCCCAUCCAAGUCUACCCAAUGAAGAUGCCGGCCAGCGUUGUUUCUUGAGUUCUGAAAUUGUCCCCCAAUGUGAUGGUGCUUGAUCAUUGCGUCAUUGUCCAUAACGUCAAGGCUUACCUACCCAAAGAAUCAACUUGGGCCUCUCCUUAAAAAACGGGAACCCUCUGAGAACGAGAAAGAGACUGGAAUCGUAAAAGAAUCAGGUACAGAAACCGUGACCGCGUCCAUAUCAAAAGGUCGCGUACACCCGAACGCUCCAGGCCACGCAAUUGUCAGCGGCGCAAGUCAACUAUCGAAGAAGAGGGGUGGUAUGUUGUGAUUAAUUGGCUCAUAUAAUUGAGUUGGCAACAAGUAAAGAUUGAAGACCAAAUUGAUCGGAGUGGUAGGUGUGCAAAGUAAAAGGGUUCCAGAAGCAAGUCGAAAGUAGGAAAGAAGCAGCAACGUUAAUCACAUAAACACAUGGAAUUAUGCAUGUGUUGACUUUGUGGAUUAAUAAAAGGAAAAGUCAGAUAGUUGUUUUGACUAAAUGGAGAGAAUGAGGGAAGGCAUGCCAAGUGCUUAUCCUUUAAUCAUAAAGGAAACUAAAGCCUUGAAUUUGGGAGCCAAGGCACAAUAACGGCAUCGUUAAAGGCAUUGCGAAGUAGGAAGAAAACUCAGCAAAAGCCGAGCAGCAAUGGGGUUGGUCUGAAAGAUUGCUUGGUUGCCUAUGAUAUCACGAAUGGCACAAGCUUGGUGGACUAAUGUACAUGGCUUUAAUGGUUUUCUGGUUAAAGCUUUCUUUGGUUUUGAUUAUAAUUGUUCACAUUAAUGCUUUUCUUGGUGAGUCUUAUUCAUGAAUUGUUGGAGUUUCUGUGGAGCUUUCCUUUCGGUGGAAUUUCAAGAAAAGCAGAGAUAACAUAAAGAAGGCAGAGAGAAAAAGGAAUCAAACUCCAACAAGAAUGAUGCCAAGGCUGCAACAUGUCUAACUAGACAAAUAAUCAUGCUAUUAAACCAUUAAAUAAAUGUUUGUAGAACUUUCACCAAGGGGGUUUUAAGGAAAUUUUGUUUAUUAGGAUGUUGCAUGGACUUGUGGAUCAUAAUCCACAAUGGAUAAAUAUGUUGGCCGGUUGGUUUUAUAAAUCA